GAUGAACGCUGGCGGCGUGCCUAAUACAUGCCAGUCUAGCGAACGGACGAGAAGCUUGCUUCUCUGAUGUUAGCGGCGGACGGGUGAGUAACACGUGGAUAACCUACCUAUAAGACUGGGAUAACUUCGGGAAACCGUAGCUAAUACCGGAUAAUAUUUUGAACCGCAUGGUUCAAAAGUGAAAGACGGUCUUGCUGUCACUUAUAGAUGGAUCCGCGCUGCAUUAGCUAGUUGGUAAGGUAACGGCUUACCAAGGCAACGAUGCAUAGCCGACCUGAGAGGGUGAUCGGCCACACUGGAACUGAGACACGGUCCAGACUCCUACGGGAGGCAGCAGUAGGGAAUCUUCCGCAAUGGGCGAAAGCCUGACGGAGCAACGCCGCGUGAGUGAUGAAGGUCUUCGGAUCGUAAAACUCUGUUAUUAGGGAAGAACAUAUGUGUAAGUAACUGUGCACAUCUUGACGGUACCUAAUCAGAAAGCCACGGCUAACUACGUG
rnacentral:rRNA from 1 species